AAUUUAUAUGACAAGUAAUUUUGCAGAAAAAGAUUUAGCCCAUUAAGAAAAAGUGUUUCAUUUUUCCUUUCCUACGUUCAUUACCACAAGGAACAGGAACGAUGAUUGCUCGGCUUAAGUGAGCUUGACUGGGUCAAUGGAUUCCGUUGGUCUGUAACAAAUGAGAGAUUUCCGUUGCAACUUUUUCUUCCUGUUUUCAAGACUGUAUCCCUCUGUGGUGAAAACGCAUCUCGAGAGGAAAUUAGGGUCGCUGAUAUUUCUUGAAGGCUGGCACACUGCGGAAGCUUUAGAGACCAGAGCAUAAGCGUUCCCGAGGACGGAAGGUUGAAAUAAACUACUUGAGGCUACAAUUGCGGAAAAUAGGCAGUUCCACAUGAGUGUGAAUUUAGUUGUACGAGCCAGAGACAAGUUGAAGGGGAGCUGUAGGCGAGUUGGAGGCGAGCUGUAAAUGAGCCGAAGACGAGCCAGAAACGACC